GUCACUGAAACCUUAGUUCUGGAUUGCUUAUGGUCUGCCUUUCUAGCAUCCCUUGCAGCUAGGCACAGUGCAGACAGGCACACAGGCAUGAUGGGAUAGCAUUCAGAAUCUUGACAUUGUUUUGUCAUACUUGUGGUCAGCAUGCUUUUCGUGGGAGCCCAGCUGGGAGACCAGCUCCUACAGUUUACAGCAGGGAACUCUUGAGGAGAGAGGAAUGAAGAACCUGCAAGUUCUCUGGAGCUCGCUUGCAACUCAGGCCAAAGUGGGGACUCAGGGUUGACGGAAACACCUCUUCCCCUUAAAAAAGUCACCGAUCAGCGAAAUGGUGAACACUUGCUCUCAAGCCAGUCAGCAGAAAGACUUUAUAAACUACCUGGGUGGUCAAGAGACCGGUCUCAGAAACGGGCUGCACAGGCUUAAGAAUGCGUUAUCUUAGGAGACAGGACAAGGCAGGGUGAGGCUCCUGGUGGCCGUGAGAAGCAGCGGUGGGGGAAUCAGCAGGAUUCCAUUUUGUACAUAUCACGUUUACUCGGAGGUUUAUGUCCACCACAGGUGUGAACGGGUGUCAGUGCCGGGCUGGGUAGAGCAUGGGGCGUGGCAGAUUCCAGAGAACUUGCCAGGUGUCCCUUCUUCCGGUGGCCAUGUUUAAAGUCUCAAUGCUGGUCAUUUGAUGAAUCCUAGAGGAAGAGGCUGUUAUCACAAACAUGGAAAUAAAACAUGGAGGCCUCUACA